AAAACUUUGCCGGAGGUCCUAAAGCUAAUAAGCAGUUCAGCUGGGAUGUAACCAAAUCACAGCCUCCUCUCAGAAUGCCUCACGCCCCUCCCAGGAUGCCUCACGCCCCUCCCAGGGUGCCUCAUGCCCCUCCCAGGAUGCCUCACGCCCCUCCCAGGAUGCCUCACGCCCCUCCCAUGGCGCCUCACGUUCUUCUCAGGACGCUUCACUUUCUGCUUCUCUCUCCACCUGGUCAGAAGGGUAGUGUGUGUCAGAGUGUGAACCUGUGUGCUGGGCUCCUAAACUCCUGAUAGGCCUUGAGAGACAGAUGAAGUGAUUCACUCUCUAAUAAUCUUUCCCAGCUAUAGGGUGCAGCAGAACCUGGAGAGGUUUCUGAAACCUCAGAUUUGGUUCAUGGGUGGCAGACAGAGCUGAGAUGGAGGUUGAAGUUUUACCUUGAAGCGCGGGAUCUUUUCUCAGGGUGCUCUUUGGUUUUCCCCCUCGGGCCUGCUCAGAAUCCUGGCUGUGGAAAAUGUGAACUUCCUGGGGAUGGAAGACACACAGUCUCCUUCUUCCCGUUCUCUGUAAGGGUGCGUAUGGAAUGUGGAGUGCGGCAGGUGGAUCUGGGAGUUAGUGGUGGAGUGGGAAAGCAGGAGCUAGUGCUUUUCCUGCUGACAGGCUUGGGAUUCGGGGCCUGGGAGCAGGAUUUGGGGGGAGAAGAGCAGCAUUAGUGGCAGGUGCUAUAUGCUGGCAACAACUGUCCCGUGAACUUGGACUUGGUGUUGGGGUAACAAUUUUGAGGCAAAAGCCCACCCCCAAAGGCUCCUGGUAGCCUUAUUCCUUCCAGGCCACCCAUAGGCACUGAAUUGCUGACAGGUUUCUGGCUCUAUCAGGGCUACUGGCCACAGACUCGGGAGGCCUGGGAUGCAGUCCCACUGGACCCACGCCCUGAAGCUUUGCUGGGAAUUUGCCAUAUCCAGUCCAAGGACUUUGCAGGAAACACAGGUGAGGGGCACUGCAGGGUGCCUCCCCCAAGAAGCACACUGCUGGUUGGGGAUGGAAGACCAACAUAUUCUCAAACACACAUGUAGAUACAUCCCAUAUAUAACACAUUCACAAUAUCCACAUAAUCCACGCACACCCACACACGUACUGAACACAGGCACACUUACAUCUAGGUACCUCACACGUACUCACUCAUCCGUGUCUAUAUAUAUGUACACACAUAAAUGUGCACAUGUACAAACACACAGUCACACACAUUCAUACACACAUGCUUGGAGACAAAUAUGCAUAGCAGAUACUCACAUGUGUGUGCAGUGUCCCCUGGCCAGCCCUGCAGGAAUGAGGACUGGCCCUCUGCCAUGACAGAGCGGAAAUGCAGAGCUCUGAGAGUAGAAGCUGUGAAUGGAGAGCACCCUAGUUCUUAAGGAGUCAAGGCUCAGGAAUACGGGAGAAGAAGGAGCAGGUGGUUCUUGGAGCACAGGUGCAGUAGUUGAGGCGGGGGGGGGGGUAGCAUGACCAAGGCACCCUCAAACAGGCUCCACCCCAUUGUCCACACCCCCAUUGUCCCACGGGAUGAACUCUUUGCCCCUUCUGCCCCUUAGCCUUUUCCUCCUGACUCAUUGGAAGAAAGAGAACAGAUUACCUACAAAAGGAAACCCCGAUCAGAUUGGCACCAGACUUCUCCCUGGCAACAAGGCCCAUUCUUCAUCCCCUGAAACAACCAGUGACCCUCUGCAACGCUGUUCCUCUGCCCAAGAGAAAAGGCACCUUUGGGACAUUGCUUUUGGAACCAUGCAGUGAGGGAGCCAGACAGCCACACGGAGAGGUCACGCAUAGGUGACCUGACCAACGGUUCCAGCAGAGGUCCCAGCUGUAAGCUGCCACCCACCACCAGACAGCUUCUCAAACUACACCCUGGUCACCUCAGUCUUCCUUCUGUGCUCAAAGACUGCAAGCUCAUCCCCACUCUGAGCCUUGGCAUUUCAAUCCUCUCCUCUGGAAAUGGCUUCAAAGAACACCCUACCUAAGGUGCACAUUGGCCAUGGAACCACAGAAGGUGCCUCAGCCUCCCAGAGAGAGCCACAUUCAUUGGGUUCAAGGUCAGCGUCACAUUUUCUGUGUACUUUUUUUCUUGGCUAUGACUGUUUCGUAUUUGGAAGUAAGGGUUUUCAAUCCCCACACUUCCCUGUAUUCCAAAGAAAGAUGACACCAGCAAUGCAGAUUUGGAGACUAUAUACCUACAGUCCUCUCUCCCUUUAGCUCUGCUUCCCUCUCCUCUCUUUCUCCCCCUCUCCCACUUUCCCUCUCUCCUCCACCCACCCACACACACAUGAUUGUUCCAUAUAGGGAUGAUAUAGGGAUGAAAAUUGCACUGCUGAGAGCUAACACUCUCUUUCCAGCUCAACUAAUAUGGAAUAGAUAAAUCAGGAGAAAGGAAAGUAGGGAGAAGUUGGGGGCCCACCAUUUUCUCCCAGUCUCCCUUUUCAAGACUUGUUACUUGGUUUGAAGCAAACCCCAGAUGACCCUCUCAGCCUACAGUCAUGCAUAGGACAGGUGCCUUCUCCAGCCCUGUGUCCAUCUUGGUACUCCUGGCUACCAGGUUCUUUGUGCCCACGCUUCAUCUAUACAGUCAAGGGUGGGUGGAGCGAUGACUUGGCCUGAGCCGAUGAGAGAAUCAUAUUCUCUGCAUCUCACUGAUUGGUUCAGAGAUGGAGAUUUGACCAAGUCCUAGCCAAUGAGCUUCAAGGAAAGAUUUGUAAUUCUGAGUGAGUAAAGCCCCAGCAAGAAAGGG